rnacentral:tRNA from 1 species
GGUUGAUUAGCUCAGUUGGCAGAGCAUACGACUCUUAAUCGUAGGGCCCAGGGUUCGAACCCCUGAUCGACCACCA